rnacentral:rRNA from 1 species
CCUACGGGAGGCAGCAGUGGGGAAUAUUGGACAAUGGGGGGAACCCUGAUCCAGCCAUGCCGCGUGUGUGAAGAAGGCCCUCGGGUUGUAAAGCACUUUCAGUGAGGAAGAACGCCUGGUGGUUAAUACCCAUCAGGUAAGACAUCACUCACAGAAGAAGCACCGGCUAACUCCGUGCCAGCAGCCGCGGUAAUACGGAGGGUGCGAGCGUUAAUCGGAAUUACUGGGCGUAAAGCGCGCGUAGGUGGCUUGAUAAGCCGGUUGUGAAAGCCCCGGGCUCAACCUGGGAACGGCAUCCGGAACUGUCAAGCUAGAGUGCAGGAGAGGAAGGUAGAAUUCCCGGUGUAGCGGUGAAAUGCGUAGAGAUCGGGAGGAAUACCAGUGGCGAAGGCGGCCUUCUGGACUGACACUGACACUGAGGUGCGAAAGCGUGGGUAGCAAACAGGAUUAGAUACCCCAGUAGUC